AACGAACGCUGGCGGCAGGCUUAACACAUGCAAGUCGAGCGGGAGUAGCAAUACUCUAGCGGCGAACGGUCGCGUAACACGUAAGCAACCUGCCCGAAAGACCGGGACAACACUCCGAAAGGGGUGCUAAUACCGGAUGUGCCCAUUCCCUUGCAUGGGGGGAUGAAGUAAAACGCGCAAAAACUUCGCCCUAACCAAGCUGCUUCGCCAUUGUUCUUCGGAACCGUGUGGAGGCGUUUUGGUUAGAGUGCGGUUGUUGUGGCGGCUUUUGGAGGGGCUUGCGGCCUAUCAGAUA
rnacentral:rRNA from 1 species